GAUGAACGCUGGCGGCGUGCCUAAUACAUGCAAGUCGAGCGAACAGACGAGGAGCUUGCUCCUCUGACGUUAGCGGCGGACGGGUGAGUAACACGUGGAUAACCUACCUAUAAGACUGGGAUAACUUCGGGAAACCGGAGCUAAUACCGGAUAAUAUAUUGAACCGCAUGGUUCAAUAGUGAAAGACGGUUUUGCUGUCACUUAUAGAUGGAUCCGCGCCGCAUUAGCUAGUUGGUAAGGUAACGGCUUACCAAGGCAACGAUGCGUAGCCGACCUGAGAGGGGUAUCGGCCACACUGGAACUGAGACACGGGCCAGAACCCUAAGGGAGGCAGGAGUAGGGAAUCUUCCGCAAAGGGCGAAAGCCUGACGGAGCAACGGCGCGUGGGUGAAGAAGGUCUUCGGAUCGGAAAACUCUUUUAUUAGGGAAGAACAAAUGUGUAAGUAACUAUGCACGUCUUGACGGUACCUAAUCAGAAAGCCACGGCUAACUACGU
rnacentral:rRNA from 1 species